rnacentral:rRNA from 1 species
GGAGUCUGGGCCGUGUCUCAGUCCCAAUGUGGCCGAUCACUCUCUCAAGUCGGCUACUGAUCGUUGCUUUGGUAGGCCGUUACCCUGCCAACUGGCUAAUCAGACGCGGGUCCAUCUUGUACCACCGGAGUUUUUCACACUGCACCAUGCGAUGCUGUGCGCUUAUGCGGUAUUAGCAGUCAUUUCUAACUGUUAUCCCCCUGUACAAGGCAGGUUACCCACGCGUUACUCACCCGUCCGCCACUCAGUCAUCCUCAUCUUCCACCCGAAGGUUUCUGUCGGGGAUGCUUCGUUCAACUUGCAUGUGUUAGGCACGCCGCCAGCGUUCAUC